rnacentral:rRNA from 1 species
AGGGCACCACCAGGAGUGGAGCCUGCGGCUUAAUUUGACUCAACACGGGGAAACUCACCCGGCCCGGACACCGUAAGGAUUGACAGAUUGAUAGCUUUUUCAUGAUUCGGGGGAUGGUGGUGCAUGGCCGUUCUUAGUUCGUGGAGCGAUUUGUCUGGUUUAUUCCGAUAACGAGCGAGACUCUAGCCUACUAAAUAGUUCGCACAUUGUCUCUGUGUGUGUGACUUCUUAGAGGGAUUUUCGGCGUUCAGCCGCACGAAAUUGAUCAUUAACAGGUCUGUGAUGCCCUUAGAUGUCCGGGGCUGCACGCGCGCUACACUGGCAAAAUCAGCGUGCUUGUCCUUCCCCGAAAGGGGUUGGUAAACCCUUGAAAAUUUGCCGUGAUUGGGAUCGGAAAUUGCAAUUAUUUUCCAUGAACGAGGAAUUCCAAGUAAGUGCGAGUCAUCAGCUCGCGUUGAUUACGUCCCUGCCCUUUGUACACACCGCCCGUCGCUGCCCGGGACUGAGCCAUUUCGAGAA